rnacentral:rRNA from 1 species
UACGUAGGGUGCGAGCGUUGUCCGGAAUUAUUGGGCGUAAAGAGCUUGUAGGCGGUCUGUCGCGUCUGCUGUGAAAAUCCGGGGCUCAACCCCGGACUUGCAGUGGGUACGGGCAGACUAGAGUGUGGUAGGGGAGACUGGAAUUCCUGGUGUAGCGGUGAAAUGCGCAGAUAUCGGGAGGAACACCAGUAGCGAAGGCGGCACUCUGGGCCGGUACUGACGCUGAGGAGGCGAA